rnacentral:misc_RNA from 1 species
AACUUUUGGCAACGGAUCUCUUGGUUCUAGCAUCGAUGAAGAACGCAGCGAAAUGCGAUAAGUAAUGCGAAUUGCAGAAUCCGUGAGUCAUCGAAUCUUUGAACGCACAUUGCGCCCCUUGGUUACUCCGAAGGGCAUGCCUGUUCGAGCGUCAUUAUCACCCCUCAAGCCCCGGCUUGGUGUUGGACUUUAGUUAUAGCGUUGUCUAUCAACUGGUCUCAAAGAUAGUGACGGCGCCCCAGAGGGAACCGGGUACGAGGAGCUUUUUAUUAAGCAUGUACCUGGGAGGACUCUGACGGGCGACGGUCUUGUUAUACUUUUUACCUAAGUGUUGACCUCGGAUCAGGUAGGAAUACCCGCUGAACUUAAGCAUAUCAAUAAGCGGAGGCU